ACAUAGGCGACAAUUAUUCACACAAUUAAUAUUCUUGUUCAAAAACAAUUUUUCACCAUUUAUCAGAUUUGUGUCUUAUUCUCACAAAUCUGAUAAAUGGUGAAAAAUUGUUUUUGAACAAGGAUAUUAAUUGUGUGAAUAAUUGUCACCUAUGU